GAAAUGCAUGGGCGAUGGCAUCGGCCAUGCGUGCCUGCUGCGCGUGCAAGGUCUGACGCAAGCGGCGCAGAUGGCGGUCGUAACCGCCUUGUUCCA
rnacentral:tRNA from 2 species